CAAUCGGAUAGAGCGUUGGACUUCUAAUCCAAAGGUUGCGGGUUCAAGUCCCGCCCAGAGUA
rnacentral:tRNA from 1 species